UAAAGUACAUAUUUAUCGUUAUUGGGCCAACGCAGAAAUGUCGCUGGCGUAAACUUAUGGUUGGUUCGACGUUGGGCCAACAAUUGCAUUUAUGAUACAUGUUAAUUAGAGUUGGGCCAACCAUGGCCCAACAACGAUUUUCCUAUGACGAUUUUCCGUGGUUGGCCCAACCACUGCAUGUUUACAGGGUUGUUUAUAUAGAAAAAAUGCGAUAUAGUGUUAGAACAUAAAAUAUCACUAAAAUUCAUUCUUAUUGAUUGUAUUUUUAUGAUCGAUCCCAAAGUGCGGUCGUUUCAAACUUGACACCAAAGUGCGUAACGCACGUUAGGGCUGGACCCCAAAGUACCUAACGCAUUUUGGGUCGGACCCCAAAGUGCACUUGACCCCAAAGUGCGUUGUUACACUGCUUUAUUUGAACUUUGUUACUAGUCUUUGCUACAUGCAUUUUAUCUUCCAAGCAAAAAUUGAUAGUUCUAUUUCAUUUAUAUCUAAUGUUUUCAUUCAGUGAAGAAUAACUUUGUUGUUUUGUUCUUCUUCCUGUAUAAGAAUUUUUUUUUUAACCAAUUAUUCUUAAUCAUUUGUUAUUUCUCGUCCGAAUAAGAUUAAAAUUUCCUUUUUAAUUGAAACCUUGGCUAACAAAUAAAGAAACGCGCGGGAUAUCGAACUGUUUUCUCUCUGUUUUCAGGACAUAUGCUUUGACUGAAGGAGAAAAAAACAGACACACUGCCACAGUUAAUAAACUGAUACAAUUCACAUCUUUUAUGUUAAACGAGGUGGAUCUAACAUAUCAACUAAUGGCCAGACUACUCGUAUACAAUUUCCUGUCUUUUUGCUGGAAUUUACAUAGCUGAUGAUCCAAGCGAUUCGCCGUUUGUAGAAGAUCAUCUCGUCAACGAUGCCGGACAAGCAGAUGGUGACUACAUAAUAGAUGCUUUCGUUAAUUGGGGAGAGGCUUCAUUACGUCAUUUUAAUUAUGACCAUUGUGCUUUGCUU